CAGACAUUCUGAAACACAUACGACCAUGGGUUUCCGCUAAGAAAUAGAUCUGUAACAACCAGCACUGAGUAUACAGGCUUCCACAUAUCCCCAGCACUGUGCUGUGUACUCACAGGCACCAGUUCAUGUAAUCCCAGCAACUCAACUUAUUUCAUGUUAUAGCUGAAGCCCAGGGAGGUUAAGUAGCCUUGCCAAAGUCACACAGUUAACUCAGGGGUGGUGCCAGAUUUGAACUCCGGCAGUUUGGCUCCCUGUUACUAACCCUAGGCUGUACAGAUGAGGAAACUGAGGCCCAGAAAGCAGAAACUUGCUCAAGAUCCUCUGAUGGGUAACGGUUGGAGCUGGGCCGGAGUCCUUGAGCCCCAAGCCUUACCUGCUCCUGUCUGUUGGGGACCAGUUGGGGGUGGUGAGGCCACCAGCAGCAGCCCAGGAACUCACAGCCUCCUCAGGCUGAGUUUGUCCAGCCCAUCCGGGAGGAGCUUAAAAUAGAAGAAGUUCCCAUGGAAAAGUUUUAAGACUUCACUGGAUUGAAACCAGAUGACCCUGUGCAAACAGACCCCACCAGCAGGCACAGGGUCUGGGCGUGAGCUGUGCUCCCUACGGCUGUUCCCAGCCUGCCCUGGGGAGGGAAACUGCCCUGGGGGUGCAGACAGGCCAGCAGGGAAGAGAGCCCAGGGACAGGGGACACCAGAGCGGCAGGCCUUUGCUGUUGGGAAGGGGUGGGAGACGUCUUCCCCAAGGCAGAGAAGUGUCCCCAACACUUUCACUGGCUCCAUCUGUUUCCCAGCUUCUGAAGAUGGACAGAGAACUUGGAGACAGCAUUCACCCAUUCUCCCACCCUGCCAAUCGUCUCCCUGUUCCCCCACUUAUUCUUGCCUUUACUUGCACGCCACAGUCAUACGGCAAACACAGCACCUCCUUGACACGGAGGGCUAUGUGUGAACCACUAGGGACACAAGAAUGCAGCAGACACUGUCCUGCCCUUUGGAAACUCCCAGACACACUGAGCAGUCGUCACAGCAGGAUGGUGGGGGGUAGGGGUAGGCUGGGGACACCUGAAUAACCCUGGCCGGUCAGCGGGAGCUGCACAGACGAGGUUUGGAGCAGGACCCAGAAGGGAGGGAGAAGAAGGGGUGUUCUGGGCCAGC
rnacentral:lncRNA from 1 species